rnacentral:rRNA from 1 species
CAGUAGCCACGGUAAUACGUAGGUGGCAAGCGUUGUCCGGAAUUAUUGGGUGUAAAGGGCUCGCAGGCGGUUUCUUAAGUCUGAUGUGAAAGCCCCCGGCUCAACCGGGGAGGGUCAUUGGAAACUGGGAAACUUGAGUGCAGAAGAGGAGAGUGGAAUUCCACGUGUAGCGGUGAAAUGCGUAGAGAUGUGGAGGAACACCAGUGGCGAAGGCGACUCUCUGGUCUGUAACUGACGCUGGGGAGCGAAAGCGUGGGGAGCGAACAGGAUUAGAUACCCCAGUAGUCCCUGUCUCUUAUAC